rnacentral:rRNA from 1 species
UGGGGAAUAUUGGACAAUGGGCGCAAGCCUGAUCCAGCCAUGCCGCGUGAGUGAUGAAGGCCCUAGGGUUGUAAAGCUCUUUCAGCGAGGAGGAUAAUGACGUUACUCGCAGAAGAAGCCCCGGCUAACUUCGUGCCAGCAGCCGCGGUAAUACGAAGGGGGCUAGCGUUGUUCGGAAUCACUGGGCGUAAAGCGCACGUAGGCGGACUUUUAAGUCAGGGGUGAAAUCCCGGGGCUCAACCUCGGAACUGCCUUUGAUACUGGAAGUCUGGAGUCCGAGAGAGGUGAGUGGAACUCCGAGUGUNAGAGGUGAAAAUUCGUAGAUAUUCGGAAGAACACCAGUGGCGAAGGCGGCUCACUGGCUCGGUACUGACGCUGAGGUGCGAAAAGCGUGGGGAGCAAAACAGGAUUAGAUACCCUGGUAGUCCACGCCGUAAACGAUGGAAGCUAGCCGUCAGGGUGCAUGCAUCUUGGUGGCGCAGUUAACGCAUUAAGCUUCCCGCCUGGGGAGUACGGUCGCAAGAUUAAAAACUCAAAUGAAUUGACGGGGGUCAUANCUGUUUCCU